GCGGGGGCGGGCGGAGGGCGGUGCGGCGGGGCAGGGCGCGGCAGCAACCCAGGGCGGGCACUCGCGCGGCUCCGCCGGAAGGAGCUGGCUUGGCAACUGGGUGUUACUGAACUUGAUAAAUGCUCUGGAUUGAAUCUGCAAACUUCAGAUCCUGUCAGAAGAUCGUCCUUUCAUCCUUCCUCUCUUCUCUCUCUCGUUCUGGUUUUGGUUUGGUUUUAAUGUUUAUUUUUGUUUUGAGGGAGCAUUACUGCUGACUUUUCCUCACCUGAUUUUGUAGUAAUUGUCUAUUGCAUUGUCAGAUCUCAUCGUCUGAUUCACAAGUGCCUAGUGCAAUACUCAACUUGGUGCUCACGCAAGAUAGUACAUCUCCAUCUGCUUGACAGCACAGCUUGAAGACCAUAUGGCCAUGACCCUGACUGCCCACCCUUUUUUCAAUGUUACCCCCAAGACUCUUUCGUUUCCUUUGUAAGACAGCAUUAUUAGAAACUCUGUUUUCUCCAAGUAAUAAGAAAAAAAAAAACAAUGUUGCCCAUUUUUAUUCUUCUCCAAUUGAAGGAGCCUUGGAGAGACAAUGCUGAUGCUUCCUCAUCCACACCACUAGGUUGCCUGGACUGGGGAAUCCUUAAGCUGGGGAUAACAACUUGUCUGUAAUUUUGCUUUACUACUACUUGAUUGAAGAAAUUGGCAUUGUAAUAAAAGUGCAGUCACAAUACUAA